GACGAACGCUGGCGGCGUGCUUAACACAUGCGAGUCGAACGGAAAGGCCCUGCUUGCCGGGUACUCGAGUGGCGAACGGGUGAGUAACACGUGGGUGAUCUGCCCUGCACUUCGGGAUAAGCCUGGGAAACUGGGUCUAAUACCGGAUAGGAGCCAUUUUUAGUGUGAUGGUUGGAAAGUUUUUUCGGUGUAGGAUGAGCUCGCGGCCUAUCAGCUUGUUGGUGGGGUAAUGGCCUACCAAGGCGGCGACGGGUAGCCGGCCUGAGAGGGUGGACGGCCACAUUGGGACUGAGAUACGGCCCAGACUCCUACGGGAGGCAGCAGUGGGGAAUAUUGCACAAUGGGCGCAAGCCUGAUGCAGCGACGCCGCGUGGGGGAUGACGGCCUUCGGGUUGUAAACGCCUUUCGCUAGGGACGAAGCUUUUUGUGACGGUACCUAGAGAAGAAGCACCGGCUAACUACGUG
rnacentral:rRNA from 1 species